rnacentral:rRNA from 1 species
ACCCCAAACCGACACAGGUGGUCAGGUAGAGAAUACCAAGGCGCUUGAGAGAACUCGGGUGAAGGAACUAGGCAAAAUGGUGCCGUAACUUCGGGAGAAGGCACGCUGGUAUGUAGGUGAAGUCCCUUGCGGAUGGAGCUGAAAUCAGUCGAAGAUACCAGCUGGCUGCAACUGUUUAUUAAAAACACAGCACUGUGCAAACACGAAAGUGGACGUAUACGGUGUGACGCCUGCCCGGUGCCGGAAGGUUAAUUG